GGGCCAGUAGCUCAAUGGUGAGAGCAGCAUCCUUAUAAGGUGUAUGGUGCCGGUUCCCUAAAGGGUGCUGCGCGACGACUCCGGCCUGGCCUA
rnacentral:tRNA from 2 species